rnacentral:miRNA from 1 species
ACGACGCAGUAUUUAGUGGAGGUAAGUAAUUUUAUUGAUUUUAUCAUUGUUAAACAUUGUUCACGUCAUGUUAUUGAUUAUUUUGCAACCGGCUUUGGAACUGUUUUAUGUACAAAUUUUGGCAUUUUGGCAUAGGUGUGGUUAUAUAAAUAUAGCUAAUUAAUGUAUCUUGAAAAUAAUAUAUUUGUUGUGCAGAGUAAAGGUAAAAUUGAAAAAACAUAACCACGACGCGGAGUGUCACAAAGUAGGUUACUUGUAGUAAAACUUCAGUUGCAGAUGGGAUAAAUAACUAAUGCUCAGUGAACGCAACCGUAUUCACGGCCGCUAUAGUUCUGGUUGUAAACAUCAUUACAGGUGUACAUCUCCUUUGAGUAAACCCUUCGGCUGAAACAAUUGGUACCAACAUGAAGAGGGACGCGUAUGGGGACGAGGGUCCCGCGCAGAAGCGGCAGCGGCAUUCAGACGACGAGGUCACAUUUCUCAUACCAAGCAAGGUGGCUGGUUCAAUCAUUGGAAAAGGUGGCACCAAUAUAUCAAAACUGAGAAACCAGUACAAAGCCUCUAUAACAGUCCCAGAUUGCCCCGGCCCCGAACGGGUGUUAUCAAUAACGGCUGAAGAUGUGGACACGCUUCUUGAAAUUGUCAAAGAAAUAUUGCCAUGUUUGGCGGAAGGAGGGCCCAAGGCCAUGGGCGACCAGGACCUGGACGUGCGUCUACUAAUCCACCAGAGCCGCGCCGGCUGCGUGAUCGGCAAGGCCGGCGCCAAGAUCAAGGAACUGCGCGAGAAAACCGGCGCCCGCUUGAAGAUAUUCUCUAGUCCGGCGCCUCAGAGCAUGGAGCGCAUCGUGCAGCUGGUGGGCAAGCCCGACGCCAUCGCCGCCGGCAUCCGAGAGGUGCUCGAACUCAUACGCCAGGUGCCAAUCAAAGGUCCAAUCCAGAACUACGAUCCGCACAAUUAUGACGAUUACUACGCGGACCAAUACGGAGGGUUCGGAGCCGGGCAGGGUGGCGGCGGUGGCGGCGGCGGCGGUCGUCCUCCCCGCGGCAUGCCGCCCAUGGGCCCCGCCGGCCGGCCCCCGCCGCGCGGACCCCCGCCCGCGCGCAACGGCCCACCACCUCCGCGCACUGGCUUUAACGACUUCUCCGGCCCUGGACCACGAGCUAACUUCAGCGGCGGUCCCCCGCGCGGAGGCUUUGGUGGCGGCAGCUUCGGAGGGAACUUCGGAGGCGGUGGCGGUGGAGGCCGCAGCUCCGGUUCUGGCGGCGGAAACUUCAACGGUAGCUCGGUCAACCAGCAGGAGACCACCACACAAGUUACCAUUCCCAAAGAUUUGGCGGGCGCCAUUAUAGGCAAGGCGGGGUCUCGCAUCCGCAAGAUCCGCGCGGAGAGCGGCGCCGGCAUAGAGAUCGCGGAGCCUCUGCCCGGCUCCAGCGACCGCAUCAUCACCAUCACGGGCACGCCGCAGCGCAUACAGAUGGCGCAGUACCUCUUGCAACAAAGGUAACAGGGACUGCAGUUGCUAAUAAUAUACGCUUAACCAUAAUGUUUAUGACACAAGACCCAAUUUCCACUGAAAUAUGAAAAUGUGGCUUACAUGGUUGUGUUUUACUAAAGAGGUAAAAUGACCGAGCGAAAAUCUUUAAUAUACUGGUAAAGGUAUACCUAUACCUUUCCACUGCUAUCGAUAUUUCAAUCGUUGAGGUUUUACUCGUGCAAUCUUACACUAAAAAUUAUUUAUUAAUAAUCCAGACAUUAUUUUCCCUGCUGGCGCGUGCAUAUUGCCGUGACGUACGGUCCAGUGCCAGUCCCGUUGGGAGCUGUUUCUUUUGUUUUAUCGAUAAAACACUCGCUGUACAAUGCUUCAAUCUGUUCUAUCUGCGGAUAUCUGCGCUAAAAACAUCGAAAAAUUGAUAAUGUCAACUAAAACUUGGUAGAGAUGUGACAAUAUUCAUCAAAUUCUUGCUGUCAUUUGCUAUAAUCCUCGAAAUGUCAUACUAAUAACUGAACGCUAUGAUCGGCCUGCAUGGCGUCAUAUGUAUGCAUGCAUUGAUCGAGAGAUCUACUGUGAUAUUAUGUUACAAUUUGUACGUACUACCUAUGUACUUAAGUUGCAUGUUUCCAUCAAUACACAAGCUAUUAAUAACCUCGUCCAUCAUGCUAAGGCAUUGUUAAUUGAGCCAUGUUUCAAUAAACAACUUUACUAAUACAAUAUUAUUUUGACAAUAGAAUGUUUGAAGAAUUCCCAGAUUUGGCAUCAAACAAUGCAAACUAAGUUUAGAAUGUAUAGUUCGACUCAUGAAGUAUUUCAAGUCCAGUGUGCACGAGAGCAACCCGAAUCUCGGCCGAAACUUCUGAUUCGAGGACAUAUUGAAUCGUAUGUUGCUGCUGUAACUUGUAAGGUUUAAUAAACCACCUCAUAUCACGUGAUUGAUUCUGUAACUGUAUAGUGUAACGCGAGGCUCUCGUUUAUAAUGGCGUGUAAAGUCUGACCUGGAAACAACCGAAAAAAAAAAGACAAAGGAUAAAUUUGUUUUGUAAAUAGACUUGUUUGUGCGUUUCUAUUUUAUUAUCACAAAUAAUUUUAUCUAUGUUUGGAACAACUGAUUAUUGAAAUAUAUUUUCACAUUUCCAGAUCAGACUUCACACAAAACGUAAGAAUGCAUUUAUCAUUAUAUACAUAAUAUUAUUAAAAGAGAAUUAUCUAAGAUUGUGUCAAUGAUUUACUGAUUUAUUUGUUACAUUACAUCGAUGUAAUUUUAAGUGAUAGGUAAUAGAAAUUAAACGAAGUUUAUUUUAUG